rnacentral:misc_RNA from 1 species
GAAAUGCGAUAAGUAAUGUGAAUUGCAGAAUUCAGUGAAUCAUCGAAUCUUUGAACGCAACUUGCGCUCCUUGGUAUUCCUUGGAGCAUGCCUGUUUGAGUAUCAUGAAAUCUUCAAAGUAGAUCUUUUGUUAACUCAAUUGGUUUCUACUUUGGUAUUGGAGGUCUUUGCAGCUUCACACCUGCUCCUCUUUGUUCAUUAGCUGGAUCUCAGUGUUAUGCUUGGUUCCACUCGGCGUGAUAAGUUAUCUAUCGCUGAGGACACUGUAAAAGGUGGCCAAGGUAAAUGCAGAUGAACCGCUUCUAAUAGUCCAUUGACUUGGACAAUACUUUUAUGAUCUGAUCUCAAAUCAGGUAGGACUACCCGCUGAACUUAAGC